CCUACGGGCGGCAGCAGUGAGGAAUAUUGGUCAAUGGGCGGAAGCCUGAACCAGCCAAGUAGCGUGCGGGAUGAAUGCCCUACGGGUUGUAAACCGCUUUUGCACGGGGAUAACACCCUCCACGUGUGGAGUUCUGCAGGUACCGUGCGAAUAAGGGCCGGCUAAUUCCGUGCCAGCAGCCGCGGUAAUACGGAAGGCCCGAGCGUUAUCCGGGUUCAUUGGGGUUAAAGGGAGCGUAGGCGGGCGUUCAAGUCAGCUGUAAAAUCGUGCGGCUCAACCGCGCCCCGCAGUUGAAACUGGGCGCCUUGAGUUCACAACAGGCAGGCGGAAUUCGUGGUGUAGCGGUGAAAUGCAUAGAUAUCACGAGGAACCCCGAUUGCGAAGGCAGCCUGCCGGGGUGCGACUGACGCUGAGGCUCGAAGGUGCGGGUAUCAAACAGGAUUAGAUACCCGAGUAGUC
rnacentral:rRNA from 1 species